rnacentral:rRNA from 1 species
CCUACGGGGGGCUGCAGUGGGGAAUUUUGCACAAUGGGCGAAAGCCUGAUGCAGCAACGCCGCGUGUGUGAUGAAGGUCUUCGGAUCGUAAAGCACUUUCGACCGGGACGAACAACCUCUGGCUAACAGUCAGGGGCCUGACGGUACCGGGAGAAGAAGCACCGGCUAACUCUGUGCCAGCAGCCGCGGUAAUACAGAGGGUGCAAGCGUUGUUCGGAAUUGCUGGUCGUAAGGCGCGUGUGUGCGGUGUGAAAGCCCUCAGCUCAACUGAGAAAGGGCGCCCGAAACUGGCGAGCUUGAGUGUCGGAGAGGAUGGCGGAAUACCCCAAGUAGAGGUGAAAUUCGUAGAUAUGGGGUGGAACACCGGUGGCGAAGGCGGCCAUCUGGACGACAACUGACGCUGAGACGCGAAAGCGUGGGGAGCAAACAGGAUUAGAUACCCUGGUAGUC